ACCGAUCAGCGCGCAAUUGCAAUGUCAUAUAUGAUAUGCUAAUUUUCUGACUCUCACAGAGCCAGGAUAUCUGGAGAUCGCUCCGGAGAUGUCUUGGUAGAUGUGGCACAUGCAGGGGCCAAUCAGCGAUUUCAAGCACCAAGGAAUCUGAUGAGCUCAAGCAUUUUGCGCAAGCAACGUAAGCCCUUGGUUUGGAUUUUGAGACUGAGCUGGGGUUGAGCUUAUUACAAUUGUGAUCCCCUUGUGAACACCACAGCUGUGAUGUCAUCAGUAUACAAGCCACCCUUCAACAAAGCCAGCGCAUGCGCAGGAAGUCUUGAGCAUGCCUUGGCA
rnacentral:lncRNA from 1 species